rnacentral:tRNA from 1 species
UCCCUGGUGGCUCAGAUGGUAAAGCGUCUGCCUUCAGUGUGGGAGACCUGGGUUCGAUUCCUGGGUCGGGAA